UCAGGUAGGUGGAUGAUCGCCCCGCCUUGGCGGGGAGGAAAGUCCAGACAGUAGUGUGCGAGGUGCACGGACAGAAAAACGUGACGGGUAACCGCUAGUUAGAGCAACAGAGACGAGUCCCCGACAGGGGGGUGAAACGGGCAAUCCUCCCUACUGCAACCGGCGAAUGGAACGACAAAGACGGAUGCACACCCGAGUUCCGAAGCUUACGGGCAUUAGAUAAAUGAUCAUCGAGAAACAGAAUCUGGCUUACUACCUACCUGAGUUU
rnacentral:RNase_P_RNA from 2 species